UACUCUAGUCACACAGUAUGUCUUGCUGCUGCUGCAGCUGCUGCUGCAGCUGCUGCUGCUGCUGCUGCUGCUGCUGCUGCUGCAGCUGCUGCUGCAGCUGCUGCUGCUGCUGCUGCUGCUGCUGCAGCUGCUGCUGCAGCUGCUGCUGCUGCUGCAGCUGCUGCUGCAGCUGCUGCUGCAGCUGCUGCUGCAGCAGCAGCUGCUGCUGCUGCUGCUGCUGCAGCUGCUGAAGCAGCUGCUGCUGGUUGGGCUCUUAAAUUU
rnacentral:sRNA from 1 species